GGCCACGUCAGAAGAAUAUUUCUGAGAUGUCCAUAUAGUGCAUUUUGUGGGACAGUAAGCUCACAGCAAUGAAUGGAAAGGAAAGUGGCCACAUGAGGACACAACCACAGACGGACAGUCGGGGAAAUUUAUAGCAAAACACGAGCUCAGCAUAAGAAGAAAACUUGAAGAAAAGAAAAGAAGAAAAGAGUAAAGGCACUGCAAAUGAAACCAGGACAUAGCAGCCACAAAUAAACCAGCUACGAGAAGCACACAUGUACAACAGUGGGCAGCAAAGAGGUCAAGAGGCCAUAGACAUAGUCAAGUGGCGUCUUUUAUUCCCCUUAUCGGCAGGCUAAGCAAAACAAUAAAAACUCACAAGAGGUAAAAAUAUAUCAACAUUAAUGUUAAUAAUUCUCUCCUCUUGUUAGCUUUGCCCCCUGCAUGCUUACAUUAUUAGAACUGGAAUUGCUGCUAUAAAUUGGUAUAGUCCCAUGACAACAAUUGGUUUCUUAAUUCAUAUAAUAAGAACUUUACAUACAACAAAGAUAGUAUACCACCUAAAUAAGGCCUGGGCUGCUGGGCAAUUAGUCAGGUGGUACAUAUUCAUUUAUAUCAUCUGAGGAAGCUUACGCGAAACGUGCGUUGGGGCUCAUUGGAUCACUAUUCUGGUAUUUAUUUAUGGCAUUAUUUAUUUAAUAUACUACAAUUUAUUGUCCAUGUACAUUGUAUUUUAUGCACUUUGCACUUUACAAAGUAUGUACUGUAUUUGGCUCUAAUAUCUUGUCUAUGGCUGGCGAGGUCAUCUAUAUAUACUGUAUGUCUCCCACUGGGGUAUUUAUUCACUAUCUAGUACGUUUCUGGCCCUAUCCUAUAUAUUUUUUUAAUGCUGUACCUUAUUUAUCUGUGAUCCUUCCACCCUGUAUGUCAUCCACUAUUGUCUUGUAUUGUCUGUCAUUGUAUUUUAUUGGAUUUUCCCCUUUGGGAACCAUAAUAAAGUUUAUAUAUAUUGUUA